UGGGUCUGAUAUUGCCGGUAGCUUCCCUCUGCUUGGAUCACAUCUUAACUGACCCUGAUUUUCGACAGUACGCUGUCCGUUCGGCUUCAUUUGCUGUUUCUCUUAUGGCAGCCUACGUGGCAAAAUGCUCUGUUGACGAACAUAAGUCCAGUUGCAUUAUUAAGUUUUUGGAAGCUGGAAUGUGUUGCUGGGACGUGCUUUUUUGUUUGGUGGCACUGGUGUACACAUUGUUUGGAGGUUAUCUAAGACAACCUCUCGUGGUGUUCCAGAUCUUCAUACUUUGCAGCUCCGUCAUCUUCCAUUUUCUCCAUUUUCUCCAUUUUCUUUGGAA
rnacentral:lncRNA from 1 species